rnacentral:tRNA from 15 species
GCGGGCGUGGUGGAAUUGGUAGACACAAGGGACUUAAAAUCCCUCGGCCCUAGGCUGUACGGGUUCGAGUCCCGUCGCCCGCACCA